GAUCCUGGCUCAGGAUGAACGCUGGCGGCGUGCUUAACACAUGCAAGUCGAACGGACGAUGAAGAGCUUGCUCUUCAGAGUUAGUGGCGGACGGGUGAGUAACGCGUGGGUAGCCUGCCUCAUACAGGGGGAUAGCAGCUGGAAACGGCUGAUAAAACCGCAUAAGCGCACAGCAUCGCAUGAUUCAUUGUGAAAAACUCCGGUGGUAUGAGAUGGACCCGCGU
rnacentral:rRNA from 1 species